UUGCGAGAAAAGCAGAGACAGCCUGAAACACAGGGUGGUGGAGAAGGCGAGGGAGAGGUUGUCUGGAGCAGCUUAUCUGAACAAAGUCAGACUUCUCACAGGCAGCUGCGGGGGUGGCCCAAUCCGUCAUUCACAUCUCAAGCUCACAGGAUCAAUGGGAAAGUCGGUCAUUUGACCAUCCACGGCACGUCAGAAUCAUUAGGAACUGAGCACCAGAGACCAGCCUGUUGAACUCCUCACUGUCUGCACCAGAGAAUAUCGGACAAUGUCAUAUGUGUAGUAGGGGCUCAACACAUAUUUUACGUGAGACAUUGGAGAUGCCCAUAAAGAAACUUGCCUGACUUCGGAUGGAUACUUGGCAGCAUCCUGCCUUGCGAGGAGAGCGAGCUCUUGAUGUCAAUCACGGGGUAACAGAAUGAGAGCCUUCCUGUCUGUCCCCUGUGGGGAAAUUGCAGGCAGACAAUUAAUCCAGCUCUUUACACCAGACCCCCCUCCACACAGCAUGUGAUGGGGAAGGCCUCUCACUUCCCUUCUGGCUCCCACAUGUCACCGAACCUGUUGCCUCAUGAUUCAGUCCGCCAUUGCCAUUAAAGUUAACCAUCCCCGGGAAAAUGAAUGCGCAGUUAACAAAGUGAUAAGUUGAUGCUUAAACUUUAAGCAGAUUGCUUCUAGCUAAUCUCAUUUAAGUGGCAGACAGAAUCACAGGCACUCUCAGCUCUGUAUAAG